rnacentral:rRNA from 1 species
GAUGAACGCUGGCGGCGUGCCUAAUACAUGCAAGUCGAGCGAACGGACGAGAAGCUUGCUUCUCUGAUGUUAGCGGCGGACGGGUGAGUAACACGUGGAUAACCUACCUAUAAGACUGGGAUAACUUCGGGAAACCGGAGCUAAUACCGGAUAAUAUUUUGAACCGCAUGGUUCAAAAGUGAAAGACGGUCUUGCUGUCACUUAUAGAUGGAUCCGCGCUGCAUUAGCUAGUUGGUAAGGUAACGGCUUACCAAGGCAACGAUGCAUAGCCGACCUGAGAGGGUGAUCGGCCACACUGGAACUGAGACACGGUCCAGACUCCUACGGGAGGCAGCAGUAGGGAAUCUGCCGCAAUGGGCGAAAGCCUGACGGAGCAACGCCGCGUGAGUGAUGAAGGUCUUCGGAUCGGAAAACUCUGUUAUUAGGGAAGAACAGAUGUGUAAGUAGCUGUGCACAGCUUGACGGUACCUAAUCAGGAAGCCACGGCUAACUACGUG